GAUUGAACGCUGGCGGCAGGCCUAACACAUGCAAGUCGAGCGGUAGAGAGAAGCUUGCUUCUCUUGAGAGCGGCGGACGGGUGAGUAAUGCCUAGGAAUCUGCCUGGUAGUGGGGGAUAACGUUCGGAAACGAACGCUAAUACCGCAUACGUCCUACGGGAGAAAGCAGGGGACCUUCGGGCCUUGCGCAAUCAGAUGAGCCUAGGUCGGAUUAGCUAGUUGGUGAGGUAAUGGCUCACCAAGGCGACGAUCCGUAACUGGUCUGAGAGGAUGAUCAGUCACACUGGAACUGAGACACGGUCCAGACUCCUACGGGAGGCAGCAGUGGGGAAUAUUGGACAAUGGGCGAAAGCCUGAUCCAGCCAUGCCGCGUGUGUGAAGAAGGUCUUCGGAUUGUAAAGCACUUUAAGUUGGGAGGAAGGGCCAUUACCUAAUACGUGAUGGUUUUGACGUUACCGACAGAAUAAGCACCGGCUAACUCUGUGCCAGCAGCCGCGGUAAUACAGAGGGUGCAAGCGUUAAUCGGAAUUACUGGGCGMAAAGCGCGCGUAGGUGGUUUGUUAAGUUGGAUGUGAAAGCCCCGGGCUCAACCUGGGAACUGCWUUCAAAACUGACAAGCUAGAGUAUGGUAGAGGGUGGUGGAAUUUCCUGUGUAKSGGUGAAAUGCGUAGAUAUAGGAAGGAACACCAGUGGCG
rnacentral:rRNA from 1 species